rnacentral:tRNA from 2 species
GCCGCCGUAGCUUAGUCAGGUGGAGCGUCUGGCUGUUAACCAGUUGGUCAACGGUUCAAGUCCGUUCGGCGGCGCCA